CCUAACUGGACUGAUCAGUGGCUUCACUCUGCUGGGGCUGCUGAUCCUUGGAAUCCUCUUCUGCUGCAAACGCAGAAAAUAAGCAAAAUCCAGUUACCAGGAGGAAAUGAGAUUCCUGAUGUUGUCAACAGUAACCAGGCAGCAAAUGGCCAUGCCAAUGCAUACAACACCCUGGGUGGAACUGGUGUCAGGAAACACAGACAUGUUACUUUUGUGUGAAGGAAUUGUACAAUCUGACUCACAUACAGCAGAAUCAAGCUGUAAAAUAUGUAUAAUGUUCUCCAAAUCUUUCAAUGUUGCCCUUCAUCUUGUCAUUUUGGAAACGUACCCAAUUUUUGAAACAAAGUGGUGCCUCUAUUUUGGAAAUAAGCCGCGGAGGGUUUGCUUGUAAGGGAACCCACCAGACAAAGUAAUGUCAAAACACAUCUAUAUUAGUCCAGCGGAUAAGAACCAAAUAUACCCGAGAUACUUCCACUUUAUGAUAAAAGUAUCAAACUUGGUACAUUAAUACUACAUACCUUAAGGAACAUUUUAAAGAUUGGAGGCAGUCUGGGAAGCAUGUCAGUCAACCAGCUGCAUUUUAUUAAAAUGGCUGCCAUUCAGAUUUCCUGUAGGACAAAAAGUAGGGUAAAAUCGUUCCAAACAAUAUCAAAAUGACUUUGUAAUGUUAUCUACCCACUAAAUAAACCCCACAGAUAAUAUAGACAAUAAUUCUGAUGAUAAAAUAUUCUUAAGACAUUCAUGGGGGUCAUAUUGAGGUUAUUUUGAGCAUAAUCCAGUGCCUACGGGAAAAAUGGUGGACUUUGUGAUAGAGCUACAAAAUGUCACACACAGCAGGGGCAUGCCUAUAGUGCCAUCACAGAUUUGGUCCAUUACCCCCCUGGAAGCCAUUUCCAAUAUGGCCACCAACCAGCUGCAUGGGGCCAUAUUGGACUAGAUUCACGUGGCCAAAUUUUGUAAAUUUGAAUCUUAAAAUGUUGUCUGAAAAAUCCUUUAAACUUUUAGCAGAAAAGUGGUGAAAACGUCCCAAAUAUCUGUUUUUUUGUAAUGUUUUCAUGGCUAGUUCCAAUAGUUUACAAGUAAACACUCUAAAAAGAAAUAUGGGUGUUCCCUGAAGUCUACUGAUUGCAAUGAUACAGUGAGCGCCAAAAGUAUUGGGACAGUGACAAUUUUGUUGUUGUUUUGAAAUUAUACAAUGACUAUGAAAUUAAAGUGCAGACUAUCUGCUUUGAUUUGGGGGUAUUUUCAUCCAUAUCGGGUAAACCGUUUAGAA